GACAGAGGAUGCAAGCGUUAUCCGGAAUGAUUGGGCGUAAAGCGUCUGUAGGUGGCUUUUAAGUCCGCCGUCAAAUCCCAGGGCUCAACCCUGGACAGGCGGUGGAAACUACCAAGCUGGAGUACGGUAGAGGCAGAUGGAAUUCCGGGUGUAGCGGUGGAAUGCGUAGAGAUCCGGAAGAACACCGGUGGCGAAGGCGGUCUGCUGGGCCAAGACUGACGCUGAGGCGCGACAGCGUGGGGGAGCAAACAGG
rnacentral:rRNA from 1 species